rnacentral:lncRNA from 1 species
AGCCUCGGCCCGGACUCGCCGCCAACGAGGAGCCGAGCGCCCUGGAGAACGCGUCGGGGCUGAGCCGGGGUCCAGCAGCCGCCGCUAUGGACAUCCCGCCGCUGGCCGGCAAGAUCGCGGCGCUGUCGCUGAGCGCCCUCCCGGUGUCCUACGCGCUCAACCACGUCUCGGCGCUCUCGCACCCCCUGUGGGUGGCAUUGAUGAGCGCCCUAAUCCUGGGUCUGCUUUUCGUGGCGGUCUACAGCUUGUCCCAUGGCGAGGUCUCCUAUGACCCACUCUAUGCUGUCUUCGCUGUCUUCGCCUUCACCUCGGUUGUGGACCUCAUCAUCGCUCUUCAGGAAGACAGCUAUGUGGUGGGCUUCAUGGAGUUCUACACCAAGGAGGUACUUGGGGGACGACCAGGGAGCCCCCUACCGCACUGCCCGUCUGAGUCUCCCACCUGCCCCCACAGGGAGAGCCAUACCUGCGCACAGCGCACGGAGUCUUCAUCUGCUACUGGGAUGGCACUGUUCACUACCUCCUCUACCUGGCCAUGGCCGGCGCCAUCUGCAGAAGGUGCAGGAGGCAGGGAGAGGGUGGCCCCUGACCCUGGGAGAGAAGUUGCAUCCUCAGAUGGGGUCCCAGGGCAGGGUGGAGCCAGAAGUGUCUGUAGGAGAAAUCAGGACGCCUCUCUAGGGCUCCAGCCAGGGGUGGCCAGGAGAAGGUUCCAGGGAACGUCUCAGGUGUAGGUGGUGGCCUAGCAUUGCUUACAUCCACCCUGUGCCUGGGCAGCCACUUCUGUUCUUGGACAGAGGGUCUCACUGUUAUUUCCCCGUUCAACUCCCUGUUGUCCCUUCCAUCCUGGGCAAAACUGAAAGGGACCCGGAGCUGGGAAACCCACGGUGGUCUCCAGGCCCUGGCUGGGGCUCUGAGAUUACGGAGUGACUACCUGCUGGUCACCCCUCCAUCCCCUGCUCAGGAAGAGAUACCGGAAUUUUGGACUCUACUGGCUGGGUUCCUUCGCCAUGAGCAUCCUGGUGUUCCUUACAGGAAACAUUCUUGAACAAACAAACAAACAGAUGUCCAGCAGGGUUCUGGCAUGGCUGAUGCCCUCUCUCCUGCACCAUGGAAGGCAAAUACAGCUCCGAGAUCAGGCCUGCCUUCUUCCUCACCAUCCCCUACCUGCUGGUGCCAUGCUGGGCUGGCAUGAAGGUCUUCAGCCAGCCCCGGGCGCUAACCCGCUGCACCGCCAACAUGGUGCAAGAGGAACAAAGAAAGGGACUCCUGCAGCGUCCGGCUGACCUGGCCCUUGUCAUAUAUCUCAUCCUUGCUGGCUUCUUCACUCUGUUCCGGGGCCUGGUGGUGCUUGAUUGCCCCACAGAUGCCUGCUUUGUCUAUAUCUACCAGUAUGAGCCAUACCUGCGGGACCCUGUGGCCUACCCUAAGGUGCAGAUGCUGAUGUACAUGUUUUAUGUCCUGCCUUUCUGCGGCCUGGCUGCCUAUGCUCUCACCUUCCCUGGUUGCUCCUGGCUUCCAGACUGGGCCUUGGUGUUUGCUGGAGGCAUCGGCCAGGCACAGUUCUCGCACAUGGGGGCUUCCAUGCACCUGCGCACACCCUUCACCUACCGUGUGCCUGAGGACACCUGGGGCUGCUUCUUCGUGUGCAAUCUGCUGUAUGCGCUGGGCCCCCACCUGCUGGCCUACCGUUGCCUUCAGUGGCCCGCAUUCUUCCACCAGCCACCACCCUCCGACCCCCUAGCCCUCCACAAGAAGCAGCAUUGAGAGAGCUGUGGACUCAGGACCCAGGACUCUGUUUACGUGCCCAGUCAGCCCUACCUGGGGAAGCGGGGGUUGGGUGUUUUAGAGACAGGAGGGACAUCUCCGGGUGUCUUUAGUCUUGGCUAUGGUAGUUUCAGUCCAGUGGGUGGGAUGGAGACCAACGACCAAGUGUUCCUGCAAGGAGAGCCUCCCACAGCUGUCACCAUGCUCCAACUCCCACACAAACGCUUCUACCCCUUCCAGAACUUACCCAUCAUCCCCCCAUGGAUCCUUUCAGUAAAAACCCUUUCAAUUUCCAAAAUAUCACUGCCUAAGUGUUUCAGGGUGCAGGGGCAAGGGAUCCUCUUCUUGGCCCCCAUGAGGGCCCACCUAUCACUGCCAUCGUGGUUGCCAGGAGUGAGAGGUGCUGGGAUAGCAGAAGGCGGCCUCUGGUUGGUAUGCACGGCUCAUCUUCCAGAUGGGAAAACCGAGGCUCAGUAUGGACAAGAGACCUGCCCAAGGUCAUGGCCAGAGAGAAAAGUUCCUGCUCUACCAAUAAAUCAUAACUAAUAGCAUGAUACAUUUAUUAAGCACCUACUGUAUACCUUGACUGCUACAUGCUGGAUCUCACUCCAUAUUCCAGAUGGGGAAACCAAGGCUGCAGGAGGUGAAGGUCCUGGUCUGAGAUCAUUCCCCCGCUCAGUCCCCAAGGCAUGGCUGAGCUAAGAGAUGGAGCCCCAGCCUGUUGGACCACAGAAACCACAACUCUGCCUCUCCUAUCUGGUCGGGUUGGGCUCAUUUUAGGGGAAACUGAGUCCUGGAAGGAAGCCAAGGUGUUAGGAGAAAGACUCACUGUUUGCUAUUGUUUGAUUUUUUGAAAUUGGGUGAAAGGCCAGGUUUAGGGGCGACUUGGGCCUGGAGUAAGUCAGGGACCUUGACCAGAUGUCCCUUUUCCUUUUCUUUCUUUCUUUUUCUUUUUCUUUUUUUUUUUUUUUUUUGAGACGGAGUUUUCACUCUUGUUGCCCCGGCUGAUAUGCAAUGGCACGAUCUUGGCUCACCACAACCUCCACCUCCUGGGUUCAAGCAAUUCUCCUGCCUCAGCCCCCUGAGUAGCUGGGAUUACAGGCAUGUGCCACCACACCUGGCUAAUUUUGUAUUUUUAGUAGAGACAGAGUUUCUCCAUGUUGGUCAGGUUGGCCUCGCACUCCUGACCUCAGGUGAUCCUCCCAUCUUGGCCUCACAAAGUGCUGGGAUUACAGACGUGAGCCACCGCGCCCGGCCUAGAUGUCCCUUUUUCUUGCCCCUCCCAACCCCUACCGGAGAUCUACUGUAUGUCUAGCUACUGGAUCUUCACCAAAGAGUCAGCAGCAGGCUCAGAGAGGCCAACUGUCUCCUCCAAGGUCUCACAGCCAGUGAGGGGCAGACUUGAAUUGGGGCCUGUGGCUCCAGUCCACAGCAGAGUGUGACUAUCGUGAGGCCCCCACCCUGCACAGGGAGCGCCUUUGGGGUGCUGGAGACCAGGACUCCACUAUGACUACCCAAUGGACAGGUGGCCUGCAGGCCAAAUGAUCUCUUUCACCAGAUCCCCCAGGUCCCCUGCCAAAGCACAGUAACCAAGAUAGAAGACUCAGCCCCCUCCUCCAUUUCAAAGAUGGUUAAACUGAGGCUCAGAGAGGUUCUUCCCUGGCCUAAGUUCAGCUAGCAGGGUGAGGGAACUAGCUCUGCACUCCAAGUCCAGAGCGCUUCUUUCUCCGCCCGCGCUCCAGCCACUGCUCCAGGGGAGCGUGGGCCCCCGCGGCCCCUUUAAUACACCCCGCCUCGCCCGCCUUCCUCCUCCCCUUGCAGGCAGACGCCGGGAUUGCGCCGCCUGCAGGGACCUGCCCAGUCUUAACCGGGUGUGCGGGGAGCGCAGUCCGGGUGCGUAGGGGCCGCUCGGCGGGGGCCGCGCGGGCAAGAUGGUGUGCGCUCGGGCGGCCCUCGGUCCCGGCGCGCUCUGGGCCGCGGCCUGGGGCGUCCUGCUGCUCACAGCCCCUGCGGGGGCGCAGCGUGGCCGGAAGAAGGUCGUGCACGUGCUGGAGGGUGAGUCGGGCUCGGUAGUGGUACAGACAGCGCCUGGGCAGGUGGUAAGCCACCGUGGUGGCACCAUCGUCUUGCCCUGCCGCUACCACUAUGAGGCAGCCGCCCACGGUCACGACGGCGUCCGGCUCAAGUGGACAAAGGUGGUGGACCCGCUGGCCUUCACCGACGUCUUCGUGGCACUAGGCCCCCAGCACCGGGCAUUCGGCAGCUACCGUGGGCGGGCUGAGCUGCAGGGCGACGGGCCUGGGGAUGCCUCCCUGGUCCUCCGCAACGUCACGCUGCAAGACUACGGGCGCUAUGAGUGCGAAGUCACCAAUGAGCUGGAAGAUGACGCUGGCAUGGUCAAGCUGGACCUGGAAGGCGUGGUCUUUCCCUACCACCCCCGUGGAGGCCGAUACAAGCUGACCUUCGCGGAGGCGCAGCGCGCGUGCGCCGAGCAGGACGGCAUCCUGGCAUCUGCAGAACAGCUGCACGCGGCCUGGCGCGACGGCCUGGACUGGUGCAACGCGGGCUGGUUGCGCGACGGCUCAGUGCAAUACCCCGUGAACCGGCCCCGGGAGCCCUGCGGCGGCCUGGGGGGGACCGGGAGUGCAGGGGGCGGCGGUGAUGCCAACGGGGGCCUGCGCAACUACGGGUAUCGCCAUAACGCCGAGGAACGCUACGACGCCUUCUGCUUCACGUCCAACCUGCCGGGGCGCGUGUUCUUCCUGAAGCCGCUGCGACCUGUACCCUUCUCCGGAGCUGCGCGCGCGUGUGCUGCGCGUGGCGCGGCCGUGGCCAAGGUGGGGCAGCUGUUCGCCGCGUGGAAGCUGCAGCUGCUAGACCGCUGCACCGCGGGUUGGCUGGCCGAUGGCAGUGCGCGCUACCCCAUCGUGAACCCGCGAGCGCGCUGCGGAGGCCGCAGGCCUGGUGUGCGCAGCCUCGGCUUCCCGGACGCCACCCGACGGCUCUUCGGCGUCUACUGCUACCGCGCUCCAGGAGCACCGGACCCGGCACCUGGCGGCUGGGGCUGGGGCUGGGCGGGCGGCGGCGGCUGGGCAGGGGGCGCGCGCGAUCCUGCUGCCUGGACCCCUCUGCACGUCUAGGCUGGGAGUAGGCGGACAGCCAGGGCGCUUGACCACUGGUCUAGAGCCCUGUGGUCCCCUGGAGCCUGGCCACGCCCUUGAAGCCCUGGACACUGGCCACAUUCCCUGUGGUCCCUUACAAACUAACUGUGCCCCUGGGGUCCCUGAAGACUGGCUAGUCCUGGCAGAACAGUACUUUGGAGUUCCCUGGAGCCUGGCCAGCCCUCACCUCUUCUGGAUAGAGGAUUCCCCCAACUCCCCAACUUUCUCCAUGAGGGUCACGCCCCCUGAGGACCUCAGGAGGCCAGCAGAACCCGCAGGCUCCUGAAGACUGGCCACGCCUCCUGAGACCACUUGGAAACAGACCAACUGCCCCCGUGGUCGCCUGGUGGCUGGACCCCCGGGAUUGACUAGAGACCGGCCGUACACCUUCUGCAUCUCACUGGAGACUGAACACUAGUCCCUUGCGGUCACGUGGGACACUGGGCGCCUCCUCCUCCCCCUCCUCCUCACCUGGAGAGACUACAGGAACUUCAGGGUCACUCCCCGUGGUCACAUGGAGGUUGUGGGCCGAGGCGCUUAUUUUCCCUUAUGGUGACCUGAGUCCUGGAGACUCCCAUUCUCCCCCUCUCCCUGAGAGUCCCCUGCAGUUUCUGGGUAACAGGGCACACCCCUCUAGUUUCAUGGGCGAGCACCCCCAUCUGCCACCUCAGACUGACACACAGCCAGCUGGCUCACUUACUGGGGGCCACGUCCCACCCCUCAGAUAUUUCUUUGAAGGGAGAGCAAACCCACCCUGUCCUCUGACGUCCCUUUCCCAACUGUCACCAAACAGACCAUCUUCCCAGGCCUGGGGACCGGUAAGAUCCAUGUCACUAGUUAUGCAGAGCAGUUGCCUUGGGUCCCACUGUCACCAAGGCAACCAGUCCUGCUGCUACCUGUCACCUAGAGUCACACACCCCUUCCCUCAUCAGGCACACCCAUGAAGACAGUGCCUCCCUCCUCCAGCUGUAACCAUGGAUACCACACAUUUCUCAUCUCAUUGGCCCCCACCCCAGAGACCUCCACCUCAACUUCUGGCUGUCCCUACCCUGACUCACCGCCAUGGAGAUCACCCUCCCCGAAGCUGUCGCCAGGGUGACCCAACAUCCAGUUCUCCGGCUCUCACCAUGGAAACAAACUGUCCCUGUCCCCAGGCCCACUCCAGUUCCAGACCACCCUCCAUGCUCCACCCCCAGGCGGUUUGGACCCCACCACUGUUGCCAUGGUGACCAAACUCUGGAGUCCGAGGUAACAGAACACCUGUCCCCCUAGGCUUUUCCUUGUGGACAACGGGGCCCUGUUCACCAAGCUGUUGCCAUAGAGACUGUCAACGUUGUCCUCAUGACAACCAGACUUCCAGUUCUCAGGAACUUCUCAUUGUGGGCCAGAAGUCCUGGGUGCCUCCUACUAGGGCUACCCUACUGCACCCCAUCAGGGGCCUGAUGGCUGCCCCUUCCCCAGACAGGGCUGGACUUCUGGAGCUGCUAAGCCACCCUCCGUUUGCACGUUAACUCUAUGCCGGAUAGCAGCUGUGCACGAGACAAUCUUGCAACACCCGGGCAUGUUUGUCGUCGUCCUACAAAUGAGGAAACCGAGCCUAUGGCGUGCCCUGGUCUGUUGAGAUAUGCAAGCACUGAGCUCCUCUUUUGUCCUCUGAGACCCCAUCUCCAUUCUCACCCAGUUCCUCUCUCCUUCCCUGACCCCCACCCACAUUUCCCUCCUUAGAGAUCCAGGAGGGAUGGAAUGUUCUUUAAAAUUCAACACCCACCAGGCUCUAAGCGGCGAUCUGUGCUAAGAGGUCAGGACCCAGCCGAAGUCCUCGGCGUUGACAGGCAGCUGGGGGGACAUGAUCCAUGGACAAGGCCAUCCCGGCCGUGGGAGACCCCAGUCCCGAAGUCUUGCCUGCAGGAGUACUGGGGUCCCCCUGGGGCCCUCUUUACUGUCACGUCAUCUCUAGGAAACCUAUCUCUGAGUUUUGGGACCAGGUCGGUUUGGGUUUGAAUUCUGCCUCUUCUUGCUCACUGUGUGACCAAGUGACAAACUCCUUCUGAACCUGUGUUCUCCCACUGUACCAGGGCUGUUCUGUGGUCCCCGUGAGUGCCAAGCAUACAGUAGGGGCUCAAUAAAUCCUUGUUUCUUUUGAUGAAUGAGAAAAUGAGGCAGCCAGUGGGUAAUUCCUGUAUAAAUGCACUUUGGUAGAUAAGAUGUUACAAGCUUGGGGGGCUUGGGGUUUUUUUUGUUUUGUUUUUUUGAGAUGGAGUCCUGCCCUGUCGCCCAGGCUGGAGUGCAGUCGUGCAAUCUUGGCUCACUGCAACCUCUGCCUCCCGGGUUCAAGUGAUUCUCCUGCCUCAGCCUCCCGAGUAGCUGGGAUUACAGGUGCCUGCCACCACACCCGGCUAAUUUUUGUAUUUUUAGUAGAGACAGGGUUUCACCAUGUUGGCCAGGCUGGUCUUGAACUCCUGACCUCAGGUGAUCUACCCACCUCGGCCUCCCAAAGUGUUGGGGUUACAGGUGUGAGCCACUGCGCCUGGCCGGGCUUGAUUUUUAUUCUCUUUGGAAGUGGGGUCCUUCAUUCCUCCCCCACCUCCCCAAUCUCUUGCUCCUCUUUCUUCCCCCAUCCUGUGCCCACUGUCUCCCUUUAGCCACCCACCAUGGGUCUGCUCCUUGUCAACUCUGUCCUGACUGGGUCAUUGACAAGAUCCAGGGCAUGAAAUUCGGGAAACUGGAAGGGGGGUUCCUGUACCAGGAAGGGAGAGACAUUACAAACUUUCCCUGACAUGAAUAUGUGGGCUGAGGGCAGGGGCUGAGGAAGCACUGGAAGUUUCUAGGAUACAACAAAGCAUGAAGAGAAAAAAUAGUGUAAGGUCCUGACCGUGCACAGUGGAUCAUGCCUAUAAUCCCAGCACUUUAAGAGACCAAGGUGGGAGGAUUGCUUGAGCCAGAAGGUCGAGGCUGCAGUGAGCCAUGAUUGUACCACUGCACUCCAGCUUGGGCGACGGAGUGAGACCCUGUCUCAAAAAAUAAAAAUAAGUAAAUCUCCUCUUCCUCAUUCUUCU